GACGAAGUCUGCACGAUCAAAUACGGUGUCCGUGAUUGUUUUUCCCUCCCCAGCUGCCACUAUGAUGGACACACAUACAAGAUUGGUGAGUCUGUGGUAAACGAGGACUGUACCGAGCGCAUUACCUGUCAGUCAUCUGGCAUUUUGCAGCACGAACCCAUCUACUGCAAUAGCGACGAAGUCUGCAAGGUGAAGGACGGUGUCCGCGGUUGUUUUACCCCCACCAGUUGCGUCUAUGAUGGACGCACAUACAAGAUUGGUGAGUCUGUGGUAAACGAGGACUGUACCGAGCGCAUUACCUGUCAGCCAUCUGGCAGUGUGCAGCACGAACGCAUCCACUGCAAUAGCGAUGAAGUCUGCACGAUCAAAUACGGUGUCCGUGAUUGUUUUUCCCUCCCCAGCUGCGACUAUGAUGGACACACAUACAAGAUUGGUGAGUCUGUGGUCAACGAGGACUGUACCGAGCGCAUUACCUGUCAGCCAUCGGGCAUUGUGCAGCACGAACGUAUCCACUGCAAUAGCGACGAAGUCUGCAAGGUGAAGGACGGUGUCCGCAACUGCUACCACCAAGUCCAU